GCCCAACCGAGGCGAGGACGCCAGGCGGGUCCGAACAGCCGGGAGCCGGACCGCCUGCCCGAGGGAGCAAGGGUGGAUCGUUUUCUGGAAGGCUUCGGAUGUGGAUUCCUUGGUCUCCUAGUCCGAGGCCUUUGGAGCAAGCCCCAGGAGACCUUGGGUCCUUGUUUCUUCAGUUCUCCAGCAAGCCUGCUGCCGUUUUCUAAAUUCGCCUACUUUUGCGCCCCCCUCUGAAGGGCAUUUGCUCCAGGCUGACCACAUCUUGACUAAAAGAACAUCUUGAGUGGAAUCAACAACCAAAUUAAUAUCAAUAACCUGAG